UGACCCCAGGUCAGGCAAGAUUACCCUCUGAGUUUAAGCAUAUCAAUAAGCGGAGGAAAAGAAACUUACAAGGAUUCCCUUAGUAACGGGGAGCUAAUCGGGAACAACCCAACCUUAGAAUCGGGCGGCUCCAUCGUCCGAAUUGUAUUCUGGAGAAGCUUCCUCAGUGGAGGAUCGGGCCCAUGUCCCCUAGAAGGGGACGCCAGAGAAGGUGACAGCCCCGUUGUCCCUGGACCCUGCCACACUACGAGGCGCUGUCUACGAGUCGGGCUGUUUGGGAAUGCAACCCAAAUCAGGCGAUGAAUUUCGUCCUAGGCUAAAUACAGGAGAGAGACCGAUAACAAACAAGUACCACAAGGGAAAGAUUAAAAAGACUUUGAAAAUAGAGUCAAAGAGUUCUUGAAAUUAUUGGGAGGGAAGCAGAUGGAAGCUGAUGAUGCACCCUGGUCAGAUAUGGAACGGUGACGUGCUGGUUCGUCGAUCAACUCGGGGCGUGGACUAGCGUGGAUUAGGGGGGAGGUCAAAGCCCGGGCUCUUGAUAUGCCCGUGGAAUGCUGUCUCAUUGAUUUUGGUUACGAAGCGUGCGCUUCUGGCGUGCUUCGACAUCUGUGUGCUCCGGACACUGGCUGUGGGCUCCCCAUUCGACCCAUCUUUAAACACGGACCAAGGAGUUUGACAUGUGUCCGAGUCAACGGGCUAGUAAAUUCGUAAGGCAUAAGGAAUCUGAUUGGUGGGAUCUUCUUGAGGGGUGCACCGCCGACAUACCUUGAUCUUCUGAGUAGGGUUCGAGUGUGAGCAUACCUGCAGGGACCCGAAAGAUGGUGAAAUAUGCCUGAGCGGGGAGAAGCCAAAGCACACUCUAGUGGAGGACCGUUGUGAUACUGACAUGCAAAUCGUUCAUUUGACUUGGGUAUAGGGGCGAAAGACUAAUUGAACCAUCUAGUAGCUAGUUCCCUUCGAAGUUUCCCUCAGAAUAGCUAGAGAUCGGGUGCGAAUUUUAUCGGAUAAAGCCAAUGAUUUGAGGCUUCAUGGGGUAACACCCUAACCUAUUUUCAAACUUUAAAUCAGAAGGAUGACGUGACUGCUUUGUUGAGCUGCACCACAGAAUCAAGAACUCCAAGUGGGCCAUUUUUGUUAAGCUGGACUGGCAAUGAGGGAUGAACCGAAAGCCGGCUUAUGGUUCCAAACUGCAUUCUAACCAACAUCCAACAAAGGGUGUUGGUCAAUUAAGACAGCAGGAAAGUGGUCAUGGAAAUCAAAAUCCGCUAAGGAGUAUGUACCAACUCACCUGCCGUCGGGGUAACUGUCAGACCCCGAUGAGUUGGAGGGAAUGGUGGUCGCUACAAAACCUUGGGCAUGAGCCUGUGCGUAGCAGCCGUUAGUGUAGAUCUUGGUGGUAGUAGAAAAUAAUCAAAAUGAGAACUUUGAAGGCCGAAAAGGGGAAAGGUUCAAUGUGAACGGCACCAACACAUGGGUUAGUCAAUCCUGUGGGUCGGGGGAACCCCGACAGAUAGAGCGUUUCACGCGUACUCCAAAAGGGAAUGGGUUAAAAUUCCUGAUCCGGAACGUGGAGGUUGACGACAACGUUAGGAAGUCGGCAAACGUUGGUGGGAGCUUCGGGAAGAGUUUUCUUUUCUGUUUAAAAGCAUGCCCACCAUGGAAUCGGCUUGCCGGAGGUAGGUUCCAGCGGCUGGAAGAGCACCACACGUCACGUGGUGUCUGGUGCGCUCCCGGCGAUCCUUGAAAAUCCAGAGGACCUAAUGUCGUCCACAGUCGAUUCGUCGGCUGUCGGUGGACUGCUCGAGCUGCUCCCGCGGCGAGAGCGGGUCGCCGCGUGCCGGCCGGGGGACGGACUGGGAACGGUUCCUUCGGGGGCCUUCCCCGGGCGUCGAACAGCCAACUCAGAACUGGUACGGACAAGGGGAAUCCGACUGUUUAAUUAAAACAAAGCAUUGCGAUGGUCCCAACGGAUGUUUACUUAAACGUUCGGAGUAACUAUGACUCUUUUAAGGUAGCCAAAUGCCUCUUCAUCUAAUUAGUGAUUCGUAUGAAUGUAUUAAUAAGAUUCCCACUGUCCCUGUCUAAUAUACAGCGAAACCACAGCCAAUGGAACAUGUUUGGCAGAUCAGCGGAAAGAAGACCCUUUUGAGCUUGAAUCUAGUCCGACUUUAUGAAAUGACUUGAGAGGUGUAGUAUAUGUGGGAGUCGAAAGGCGAAAGUGAAAUACCACUACUUUUAACGUUAUUUUACUUAUUCCGUGAAUCGGAAGAGGGGGACUACCUUCUUUUUGGACCCAAGGAUCGCUUUGCGGGUCGAUCCGGGGGAAGACAUUGUCAAGUGGGGAGUUUGGCUGGGGUGGCACAUCUGUUAGAAGAUAACGCAGGUGUCCUAAGAUGAGCUCAACGAAAAUAGAAAAAUCGUGCGGAUUAGAAAGACAAAAGCUCGUUUGAUUCUGAUUUCCAGUACUAACACGAACCGUGAAUGCGUGGCCUAACGAUCUUUUAGACCUUCAGAGUUCUAAGCUGGAGGUGUCAGAAAAGUUACCACAAGAAUAACUAGCUUGUGUUAGCCAAGCUAUAUAGCGAAAUUUAUUUUUGAUCCUUCGAUGUCGGCUCUUCCUAUCAUUGUGAAGCAAAAUUCACCAAGUGUUGGAUUGUUCACCCACAAAUAGGGAACGUGAGCUGGGUUUAGACCAUCGUGAGAGAGGUUAGUUUUACCCUACUGAUGACAGUGUCGCAAUAGUAAUUAAACCUAGUAAGAGAGGAACCGUUAAUUCCCAUAAUUUGUCAUCCCGCUUGGUUGAAAAGCCAGUGGCACGAAGCUACCGUGUGCUAGAUUAUGACUGAACGCCUCUAAGUGAGAAUCCAGGCAAGAAGCGACGCAUGCGCUCGUUGUCCGCUUGCCGACCCGCAGUAGGGGCCUUUAGCCCCCAAGGGAUCGAUUUGUUGGCUAAGUCACCGUGAUGGAAGCGUCGAGGUGACUUCCUUGAAGUUCAAUUUCCAUCCAGCGGUGGGUAGUAUCCUCUGCAGAAGACAUUAAUACACGACGGGGUAUUGUAAGUGGAAGAGUAGCCUUGCUGCCACGAUCCACUGAGAUACAACCCUUUGUCACUUCGAUUCGU
rfam:Solanum tuberosum cultivar DM 1-3 516 R44 scf00451_55, whole genome shotgun sequence.